GGAUCGAAAACGCGACCGUGGCCGCGCUCCACAGCGCAAGCCGGUAGUCGCGGUGCUGGAUGGAAGCGGUCCAUGUGUCGGGAAUGAAGGCGAGCGGCAGGAAGGCCGUAUUUGCGCAGGAGCCGGCAAUCCACCGUGAUGUCAAUGAGAUUCCGCAGCCGCAAAGCAUAUGCGGCGGUCAUGGCGUUGACCCAGGUGGCGUCCGCAUCGAGUUGCGAAAGCUCCUCGCCAAGCGAGCUGCACAAUUGCGUUGCUUCCUGAUCUGCCUGACCGCUCUUGGCGAGCCAGUUCGCGACUCUCGCGCUGAGCGCAGCCAUGCGCGCGC
rnacentral:misc_RNA from 1 species